GACGAACGCUGGCGGCGUGCUUAACACAUGCAAGUCGAACGGAAAGGCCCUGCUUUUGUGGGGUGCUCGAGUGGCGAACGGGUGAGUAACACGUGAGUAACCUGCCCUUGACUUUGGGAUAACUUCAGGAAACUGGGGCUAAUACCGGAUAGGAGCUCCUGCUGCAUGGUGGGGGUUGGAAAGUUUCGGCGGUUGGGGAUGGACUCGCGGCUUAUCAGCUUGUUGGUGGGGUAGUGGCUUACCAAGGCUUUGACGGGUAGCCGGCCUGAGAGGGUGACCGGCCACCAUGGGGAUGGAGGUCGGCCCAAGCGCCCACGGGGGGCCAGAAGGGGGAAUUUUGGCACAGGGGCGGGAAGCGGGAGGCGGAACCCCCGGGUGGGGGAUGCGGGCUUUGGGUUUGAAAACCGCUUCCCCCUGUGAGGAGGGGGGGGGGACGGUAAUGGAUAAAGAAGCCCCGGCUAACUACGUG
rnacentral:rRNA from 1 species